ACAUGCCUACAACAUAACGUUAAUGCACUAGAUCCCAUUAGAACUCUGCAGUUAAUCCUACUCAGGCUAGAUUAGUUCUGGGAUGGGUGACCACUCGAGAAGUCCUAGUGUUUUACAUGCC
rnacentral:rRNA from 1 species